CACGUAGGGCGCAAGCGUUUGUCCGGAAUUAUUGGGCGUAAAGAGCUCGUAGGCGGUCUGUUGCGUCCGCUGUGAAAACUCGGGGGCUUAACCCCCGAGCCUGCAGUGGAUACGGGCAGACUAGAGGUAGGUAGGGGAGAAUGGAAUUCCCGGUGUAGCGGUGAAAUGCGUAGAGAUCGACCAGAACACCGGUGGCGAAGGCAGGUCUCUGGACAGUUCCUGACGCUCAGGCACGAAAGCCAGGGGGAGCAAACGGG
rnacentral:rRNA from 1 species